UAACGCGAAGAACCUUACCAAGGCUUGACAUGAACCGGAAAGACCUGGAAACAGGUGCCCCGCUUGCGGUCGGUUUACAGGUGGUGCAUGGUUGUCGUCAGCUCGUGUCGUGAGAUGUUGGGUUAAGUCCCGCAACGAGCGCAACCCUCGUUCUAUGUUGCCAGCACGUGAUGGUGGGGACUCAUAGGAGACUGCCGGGGUCAACUCGGAGGAAGGUGGGGACGACGUCAAAUCAUCAUGCCCCUUAUGUCUUGGGCUUCACGCAUGCUACAAUGGCCGGUACAAAGGGUUGCGAUACUGUGAGGUGGAGCUAAUCCCAAAAAGCCGGUCUCAGUUCGGAUUGGGGUCUGCAACUCGACCCCAUGAAGUCGGAGUCGCUAGUAAUCGCAGAUCAGCAACGCUGCGGUGAAUACGUUCCCGGGUCUUGUACACACCGA
rnacentral:rRNA from 1 species